CUCGGGUAUUCCUUGCACUUGAACUUAAGGAUGAAUGAAGGUCUCUACUUCUCCUACAUAAAUGCCUUGCAUGGCGGGAACUAAAUCAACUACACAGACCCAUACAUCCAGAGAGCAGAGGUGAGCUGGAUACAAGUGGCUUAGAGAUGUGGUGGAAGGAGGCCAGAGCUCCAAGGGAAGGGCAGCAAGGAGACAACAGCAUGGGUUGCAGCUCAGACAACAGGUAAAUAAAACCAAGCAAAGCUGCUGGUCACAGAUUUGACCAGGGUGGCAAGAAAUGACAAGCUACCAUGAGAUUCAACAGUGGCACGGAAGGAUGAUGAGAAGCAAACAGAUUAGGAGAAGCUGCCACCACCGUACAUAGAGGCACAGAUGACCAAGCAGAACAGCACCAGUCCCUGCAAGGUGUGCUCAGAUACAGCUCAGCACAGCCAUCUGGCCAGGAGGGAAUGAUAAUGCACAUGGUGUGCACUGCAGCCGGGAAGUUGAGAACCGCUGUGGGCACCUCAGGACUGAGUCUGGUUACCCUGCUGAUCCAAGAAAUGAAGCCAUCUAAAAUUUUGCCUGCUUUCACAAUUUUCUGUGUGUGUGUGUGUGUAUUAAACAAAGUGAACUAAGAAGCCUUUUAUUGGAGACAUAAUGUACUCACAGUAGUUUCAAAAUCAAUGGUGUCACUCUUCAGGUAAAUUACUCCAAGGCUUGGGCCUAGUGCAGAUGUUCAUUGGGGCAGGGAGCAGAGAGCGGCUGCAUCUAGAUCAGACAAAAAACAAAAAUAAGGUUGUUAAAUGAACAGGUGAUGGUGAUGGCAAUUAUUUAUUUUGAUAGGAAAG
rnacentral:lncRNA from 1 species